AGGAUAAACGCUGGCGGCGUGCCUAACACAUGCAAGUCGAACGCGCUUUCGGGCUUCGGUGCGAGAGCGAGUGGCGGACGGGUGAGUAACACAUGGGUACCUGCCUUUCAGUGAGGGAUACCGGCGAGAAAUCGCCGACAAUACCGCAUGGGCUUGUGGGAACACAAGCAAAGUGGCGCAAGCCACGCUGGAAGAUGGGCCUGUGGCCGAUUAGCUAGUUGGGGGGUAACGGCCUCCCAAGGCGACGAUCGGUAGCUGGUCUGAGAGGACGAUCAGCCACACUGGGAUUGAGAACGGCCCAGACUCCUACGGGGGCAGCAGUGAGGAAUUUUCCGCAAUGGACGAAAGUCUGACGGAGCAACGCCGCGUGCAGGAGGAAGGUUUCGGAUCGUAAACUGCUUUUCUCGGGGACGAGCAAGGACGGUACCCGAGGAAGAAGCCCCGGCUAACUACGCGCCAGCAGCCGC
rnacentral:rRNA from 1 species